rnacentral:lncRNA from 1 species
CUUCACUCUUCAAGCAAGGUAACAUCUUAAGGUACUUGACUAUCACUUUUAUAAGCUUCUCCUUGGUUCUAGCGUUCAUAUAAAUAAAAGAGACAAACAUGUAUGAUUUACAACUCUAGAUUAACCAACCCAACUGAUUCAACAUGUUUAGUCCUUUAACCCUUGUUCUUAGUACUACCUCCAUGAUCCCACACUCCUAAUCAUAUGAGCUAAAAUGUUACACAUUCAAUGAUUGAGAGAUAUAAAGAAAAAGACAUAUACAUAGAUAGAUUAUCUUUCCAUAAGGUUGAGCGAUCUGAUCUGACAAAUGUUAUAAGUGCUACACUAAUAAACUUUUCAUCCAUCAACUUUGUCUUGCUCACUAUGCUUAGGGUUAGAGAAGAACAAAUACACUUUAGGUUCUGUUGGUGUUUUCCACCAACCGGACCCAUGCACUUGAUCUCUGCCUUGUCUCUAUGAGCAGGUACACUUUGAGCAAAACACAGAGGAGUUUUAUAACUCUCAGACUCUACCAAGUGAAGGACCUGGAUCUACGAGCACAAACACACUGAGCAGGUUACUGCCAACGCCGCACUUCGAACUGCUGGGCAAACGAAGAACAUGGGUGACACCGUAUCAAGAGGUGCAGACGUCAAGGUCCGCACCUGAAUCAAAUGACGCACCUGAAGAAUGAACACGGUGAGAAGUCUUGUUAAGAAGACUUAAAGCAUUGAACCCUCGCCGAAAGGUAAGAUCAGUAGUUAUCCAUAUUUAUCCUUUCUGCAUUCCCUUUUCCCUUUAAUUAUUUACUUUCCUUAAAUAGAUUAUUAGUUAAUCAUGCUAUGUUGAAAAGAAAAUAAAAAUGUUAAAAAAUACUAAGCCCCAUGUGAGUAUACGAGUGGCAUAAAACCCAUAAGUACCUUCACUGUGGUGGCAUAAAAAUAAAAUAAAUAUUUCUUUUCUGCUUUAUAAAAUAAAAAUAUAAAAACAGGGAGUAAUAUUUAUUGAGGAAGCUCAACAUGAUGAAGGCUAGAUAUUUAUGCUAACACUUAAUUAGUUCCACAAGCUUUGUUGUCUAUUUGAGCUCCACAGAAUUUAAGAAUUAAGAAGACUAGCAGACGGAGGACAUUCUAAUCGCUGUCAGAAUGCUGCUGACUUUCCAAUACACCUCUGCCACCUGCUAGCUACAUCAAGAGAAAUUACGUCAAAAUUCAGCU